CCUACGGGAGGCUGCAGUGGGGAAUAUUGCACAAUGGGCGAAAGCCUGAUGCAGCAACGCCGCGUGAGCGAUGAAGGUCUUCGGGUCGUAAAGCUCUGUCCUAAGGGAAGAAUACUGACGGUACCUUAGGAGGAAGCCCCGGCUAACUACGUGCCAGCAGCCGCGGUAAUACGUAGGGGGCUAGCGUUAUCCGGAAUUACUGGGCGUAAAGGGUGCGUAGGCGGCCCUUCAAGUCAGAGGUGAAAGGCUACGGCUCAACUUCGGGACUGCAUUUGAAACUGUCUUACUAGAGUGCAGGAGAGGAAAGCGGAAUUCCCAGUGUAGCGGUGAAAUGCGUAGAUAUUGGGAGGAACACCAGUUGCGAAGGCGGCUCUCUGGACUGUAACUGACGCUGAGGCACGAAAGCGUGGGGAGCGAACAGGAUUAGAUACCCCGGUAGUC
rnacentral:rRNA from 1 species